UACGUAGGGUGCGAGCGUUGCCCGGAUUUAUUGGGCGUAAAGAGCGUGUAGGCGGCCAGGUAGGUCUGCUGUGAAAACUCGAGGCUUAACCUCGAGCUGUCGGCGGAAACCAUCUGGCUAGAGUCCGGAAGAGGAGAAUGGAAUUCCCGGUGUAGCGGUGAAAUGCGCAGAUAUCGGGAAGAACACCCGUGGCGAAGGCGGUUCUCUGGGACGGUACUGACGCUGAGACGCGAAAGCGUGGGGAGCGAACAGG
rnacentral:rRNA from 1 species